UGAGGAAUAUUGGUCAAUGGACGAGAGUCUGAACCAGCCAAGUAGCGUGAAGGAUGAAGGUCCUACGGAUUGUAAACUUCUUUUAUAAGGGAAUAAACCCUCCCACGUGUGGGAGCUUGUAUGUACCUUAUGAAUAAGCAUCGGCUAACUCCGUGCCAGCAGCCGCGGUAAUACGGAGGAUGCGAGCGUUAUCCGGAUUUAUUGGGUUUAAAGGGAGCGCAGACGGGUCGUUAAGUCAGCUGUGAAAGUUUGGGGCUCAACCUUAAAAUUGCAGUUGAUACUGGCGUCCUUGAGUGCGGUUGAGGUGUGCGGAAUUCGUGGUGUAGCGGUGAAAUGCUUAGAUAUCACGAAGAACUCCGAUUGCGAAGGCAGCGCACUAAUCCGUAACUGACGUUCAUGCUCGAAAGUGUGGGUAUCAAACAGG
rnacentral:rRNA from 1 species